ACAAUGGCCAGUAGGAAAAGACGCGCCAGCCUUGAAAGUCUUUCAUCAUCGUUACACCUUCGCUCUGCCUGGUUUGGUGUACGGUAUAAUUUUUCCUGCUAGUACUUCGCCGGGCUCGCUAUUGCGGUUGGAGACCAUCCUAGCCUUAUAUAGUACAUUUGAAGCACAUCAUGAGAUUGCUAACGCAGGUACUGUUACUUUUGAAACCCUUAAUACUCACAUUUUCGCUUAGAUGAUGAUUUUAUGUCGUGUUAUUAUUAUUGAUUCAUCCGAAACUUUAUGUUUUCACUACUGUUAAAAAUGGUGACGAGGAGUGAAAAUCUAGUGUAGUUUACAGGGAGUUUCAAAUCGUGCAGUGAUAAUAAUAUUCGCUUGUGUGGAUAUGAGACUAAUGAUAAGAAUUUCGGUGUGACAGUUCAAUACGAAUUUUCAUUAGCUGGAGAUAAAGAUAACGCAGGAUACUGGACAGCGGUGGCGCCUGAAGUGGAAACUUUAAGCUCACGUGUGGCACGACAGAUUGAUAGCACAUCUACUGUAGUGGCAAGUAAUUUAGUAAUCGGAGGAGACUGGGCAGCGUUGGGUAUUAAGCAUGGAGGGUCUCUUCUGAAAAGGAAUUCAGAUACUUACUCUGGAGGUGGCGGUGGAGGAGUUAGCCCUCGUGUGAUGAAAAGGAUGCAGCAAGCGCGUCGCAUGUCGGCCGUUGCAAAACUCAUGUCAAGAUCUCUUCUCAAGGGCGCUAUAAGUGCAACAGGCCACGUCUCAAAGAC
rnacentral:lncRNA from 1 species